UUUUUUUCUAGUUACUUAGAUUUGUGGAGCUCUAAUUUGAUUGUGGGCAUCCUUUAUAAGGCUUGUUCCACCUUCUCCUGUGGAGCUAUACCAGCUGUGACUCCUGUUUUAAGAGCUAUGUUCUCUUCUCUGUUGCAGACCUAUGUUAUAUCUGCCUUAGUGCAUGGGCUGCUGGUCAAUGCUAACAGCUGGCUCUCAGGGAAAAAAGAAAAACCAUCUGUGGCAUCUGCCAAUUUCUGUGGUGUAAAUACUCUGAGCUCUGCCAAUUUCAAGCCAUCCAUCUGACAUUGCUGAACCCAAAGUUGGCAAGGGAUGUGCACAAUUGCCUUUUGCAAGCAAGCUUCUGCAAAAGACUUGAGACAGCUCACAAUGAAGUACUCUGUAUUAGGCAGGGUAAUAUUGAUUGCAAGUGACAGAAACCCAAUCAGAAACUCACUGGAGUCAUGAGGAACACUUAUUGGCUCAGAGUAAAGGCAAAAUAGACCUUCAGAGAAAUAAAGUCUGGGAAAUUGACUAGAUCCUCACUGAAAGAACUACUAAAGGAUGUACUUAUGGAAGAAGAAAAUUACAAAGUGAAAGAACUGGGAUGCAAGAAGUAAUGGUGAGCAUGGAAUUUGGCAAAGAUUCAAGUAAAACAAAGCAAGGACU
rnacentral:lncRNA from 1 species